ACCUGGCAGGUGGCAAAGAGUCAGAUACAACUGAGUGUGGUCAUGUGACUAAAUGUUGUCCGAGAAGAUUUUGCAGUUUGGAAGAGAGGGCUCGAGUUCCAGCAGUCAUUUUGAAGUAUAAGGUUCUCUUGAGCGUAGAAGUCACAUACAACAGAAAAAGAG